AGAAACUCUCCUUUAUGGUUGGAGCAGAACAACCAUAAAGUGAGAAAAACAUACCCAAAAAUAGAACCAACAAGUUACCUCAAAACAACAUUCAACUUUACCGAAACGCCCAGAACCGAGGCCACCUACAUUCACCUCGCCACGCGACAAGUUACCCAUGCAGGGAAUAACUUGCCAUGUAGCUUACUCUGGUGAGCACUAAGUGCCACGAGGAGCACAAUCUCUGCAAAAUCACCUGCCGCCAAUGCUACUCGCCAUGUAUGCUCUGACCUAAGGAAACCCCGCUCUCGACGAGGAUCCACUCGGGAAAUCCCCUCGUCGACGGGCGAGCU
rnacentral:lncRNA from 1 species